GCAGCGGUAGUUCAACGGUAGAAUUCUCGCCUUCCAGGCAGGAGACCUGGGUUCGAAUGCCAGCCAGUGCA
rnacentral:tRNA from 1 species